CCUACGGGUGGCAGCAGUGGGGAAUAUUGCACAAUGGGCGCAAGCCUGAUGCAGCCAUGCCGCGUGUGUGAAGAAGGCCUUCGGGUUGUAAAGCGCUUUCAGCGGGGAGGAAGGCGGUGAGGUUAAUAACCUCAUCGAUUGACGUUACCCGCAGAAGAAGCACCGGCUAACUCCGUGCCAGCAGCCGCGGUAAUACGGAGGGUGCAAGCGUUAAUCGGAAUUACUGGGCGUAAAGCGCACGCAGGCGGUCUGUCAAGUCGGAUGUGAAAUCCCCGGGCUCAACCUGGGAACUGCAUUCGAAACUGGCAGGCUAGAGUCUUGUAGAGGGGGGUAGAAUUCCAGGUGUAGCGGUGAAAUGCGUAGAGAUCUGGAGGAAUACCGGUGGCGAAGGCGGCCCCCUGGACAAAGACUGACGCUCAGGUGCGAAAGCGUGGGGAGCAAACAGGAUUAGAUACCCCAGUAGUC
rnacentral:rRNA from 1 species